AACCUGUGAGGCCUUUCCUAUAGGCAGGGUAAGCAGUAACAACUGCUGUGGAGGGACAUUCUGCUGUGUAAUACCCUGCCAGUCCGAGGAGCCAGAAAAGGAUGCUGCUUUCAAGAAUCAUCCCCAAUCACCACUGCACGUCAAACUCUGGAACUAUGCAUGCAUGGCACAUAGUGACCACUCAAUAAAGAGUCUGAAAAAAAUUGAUCUACUUGCGCGUGUCAAACAGUCAUGAGGAAAGAUCAGAACCACCAUGGCCCUCAAAGACCACUGAACAGAAACUUCUCAUUCUGUAGAUGACACGAUUGUAUGAAGCAACAAGGAGAUGAGAGUCACUGAGAACAUGGACCAUGUGAACCUUCCCUCGGCUUAGGAACCCUGGAAAUUAUCUGCUUGGCAGGUGACUUCUGAUGGACGAGGACUCAUUCUGCACCGAGCUCAGUGAGGAAACAAGAGCGCAGAAAACAGGGAGCAAAGAAAAGUGUCCUGCCCACCCAUAUUCAACCUUCUGGGAAGACAAAAGCAACCAUCUGUGUGCUGGGAUUCGUGGAGAAACCGCAUGAGUAUAGAUAAGACAUCCAUAAGGAAGAGAUGGAGAGAUGGCUCAGAGGGUAUGGGCAUCCUGCUCCAGCAGAGGACUUCCCAGCGCCCUCUUCAGGCUGCUUACAGCUGCCUGCAACUCCAACUCCAGGGAAUCCAGCGACCUCCUCUGGCCUCAUUUGGUAUCUGAGCUCACAUACACAAACCAUAAAUAAAUUUAAGAGUAGAAAUUAAAAAAAAAAAUUAAGACAGAGACCUCUAAAGAUACCUUUCCUUUGUGAGACAGCAGCUGGCUUCUUUUGAAAGCCUCUGGUGAAGAACCCUUCUCUCUUACAUUUUGCCCCUGUGACCAAACCCAAUACAGGAAUACCUCAGUAAUUAAAACUGAAGUUUCAUAAUCACACUUCAAAGUAUGAUUGACUUCUAAUUCUGCAUGACACACACACACAAACAGAGAGAGAAAGAGAGAGAACAUCAACCAGAAAAAGUAUUUUCCAAAUGGUUAAGCAGUGACAAUUUUGUAUUAUUUAUUUAUUGUUUAAUUAAAAAUGUUUUAAGUUGAAAUAGAAUAUAAAAAUCUUCUCCCUUUCUUUUUUUGCUCCAGCUCCUCUAAGAUACCCUCCCUCCAAUCCCUCCUGUAUCCACACUCUCAAGUUCAUAGCCUCUUUUUCUUUUAUUAUAAUUGUUAUGUGUGUCUAUUUGUGUGUUUGUGUGUAUUUGCAUGCCUCCCCCCUCUUUCACCCUCUGGGUGUGUGCAUGUGCAGAUAUUAAAAAAGAAAUUUAUGAGCUUUCAUUUGAAAUUUCUCUGAGGACAUUUCUUCUCAAAAUAAGGGGAUAAAAUGUGUAAAGACCAAGAAAAUCAGAACUAACUUGUACAAGACACUGGAAGAUGAGAUGGUGUAUGAGUUUCAGGAGUAUAUGUCAGAAGGUGGCUUGUGACAUUUUCUGAAGCUAAGACUGAAGGAGAAUGGAUGGUAUUACUUCAUGGACGAUUUGGGGAGCAGAUAGAGCAGCCUCAAAGAUAAAGGGAGGGGUGCGAUAAAUUUUCACCAAUUGCUUAUAAAACAACUUAUAAUCAUUUUCAUCCAACCAUUACUGUAACAAAAUCAAGGUCAGGAGCAACAAAACACCACAAACAUGUUCAGGUUGCCGUGUUCUCACUCAGAUGUCAUUAGAGAGAUAGCUACAGCAGCAGAGAGCUAUAUAUUAACAGUGGGGUACUAGCAGAAGGUUCUAUUGCUAAGAAAAAAUCAGAAUUUAGUUAGUUCUUAUUUUUAAUUAAUGAACACACAGUUGAGUUUAUGUUAAUAUUAUUUUUAUUUACAUGUAUGGGGUUGGGUUUGCAUGUGGGUGCAAAAAGGUGCCUGUAAAAGCCAGAACAAAUUUCGUGGAGCUGAAGUUGCGGGUGAUUUAAGCAACUAUCACAUUAUUCUCCUUGUGGAAUAGUUAAUGUUAUCAAGUUUGUUCAAAGUUUCCAGGUAUCAGAAUAUAUAUUUGACUUGGUAAAGUCUGAAAAAGUUUGAAAAACAAAGCUCCCAAUUGCUUCUUCUCUGCUACAUGGAAUAGAUGACAACCAUCUGUCUCUUAUUCUGAGACUGUUCUAAUUACAUCUAGUCUAUGCCAUUGGCCUUCCAAGCCAUCACUUUGUCCCAGACACGCCAAUAUUAUAGUGUCAAAACUAUUCUUAUUAGAUACAUCACACUUGAAAACAACAUGAAAGUCCUUUUGUCAGAUUGCAUUUGACUCUUUUAUUUGGAAAAUACGAUCCGUAUCAACCUUAUUAAAAAUCUGAAUUGGUGGA